AACGAACGCUGGCGGCAGGCUUAACACAUGCAAGUCGAGCGCCCCGCAAGGGGAGCGGCAGACGGGUGAGUAACGCGUGGGAACGUACCCUUUACUACGGAAUAACUCAGGGAAACUUGUGCUAAUACCGUAUGUGCCCUUCGGGGGAAAGAUUUAUCGGUAAAGGAUCGGCCCGCGUUGGAUUAGCUAGUUGGUGGGGUAAAGGCCUACCAAGGCGACGAUCCAUAGCUGGUCUGAGAGGAUGAUCAGCCACAUUGGGACUGAGACACGGCCCAAACUCCUACGGGAGGCAGCAGUGGGGAAUAUUGGACAAUGGGCGCAAGCCUGAUCCAGCCAUGCCGCGUGUGUGAUGAAGGCCUUAGGGUUGUAAAGCACUUUCACCGGAGAAGAUAAUGACGGUAUCCGGAGAAGAAGCCCCGGCUAACUUCGUGCCAGCAGCCGCCGUAA
rnacentral:rRNA from 1 species